GGGGGGAGCAAACGUUGUUCGGAAUCACUGGGCGUAAAGGGCGCGUAGGCGGCCCGGCAAGUGGUGUGUGAAAUACCCUGGCUUAACCAGGGAACUGCGCAUCAAACUGCCGGGCUUGAGGUCAGUAGAGGAAGCUGGAAUUCUUGGUGUAGCGGUGAAAUGCGUAGAUAUCAAGAGGAACACCGUUGGCGAAGGCGAGCUUCUGGGCUGCACCUGACGCUGAGGCGCGAAAGCUGGGGGAGCAAACAGGAUUAGAUACCCUGGUAGUCCUAGCCGUAAACGGUGAACACUAGGUGUGGGGGGGUGUCGACCCCUUUCCGUGCCCGAAGCUAACGCAUUAAGUGUUCCGCCUGGGGGAGUACGGUCGCAAGGCUG
rnacentral:rRNA from 1 species